ensembl:lncRNA
CUCUGUCUGAGCUCAAUAUCAGCAAAGCAGAGGCAGGGAAUGAUGAAGAAAAAAGCCAGAGCGUGGCAAACUCCAAACCAAAGCAGGAAGAAGGCAAAGGGGAAGGUCAUUGUCAUGCUGGAAGACCCAUCCAUGACCCAUCUUCAGAGUUCUGGCUGAGGGAAGGAGGUUCUCAUCCAAGAUUUUACAGUACAUGGCCCCAUCCAUUUGCCCCUCAAUGUGAUGAAGUCGUCCUGUACCCUUAGCAGAAAAACAGCCCAAAAGCAUAAUGUUUCCACCUCCGUGCUUGACUGUAGGGAUGGUGUUCUUGGGGUCAUAGUCAGCAUUUCUCUCCCCCCAAACACAGCGAGUUGCGUUAAUGCCAAAGAGCUCAAUUUUUGUUUCAUCUGCCCACAGCACUUUCUCCCAAGCCUUCUUUGAA